rnacentral:lncRNA from 1 species
GGCAUCAACUUCAUUCCCUUGGAGGUGAGUGUUGUGGACACCAUUGAAUGUCUGAAAGACAAGGGCUUUCUUGGUGUCUGAAUCUUAUGUUAUUUUGAAGCAGAAGUAAUGCAGAUAAUGAAAUCUGUUAUGUUCUUUUUCAUUUCCACAAGGAUUUUCUAUGCGCAGGAAGUCCAGUUUGUUAAAAUGUAACCGAUUGGAAAAUGUACGGAUUGUGUUGAAUUUAAUAUACAUUGAAAAAUUUUCUACUUUUAUCCUUUAA